CGUUUCGGUUUAGAUAAACCAUAGACCUAUUCACUUUAUAUCUAUGAUAAAACCAAGUGGCAUUUACUCAUUAAGGAUAAAAUUAAUCUAGAAAACAGGAUUUAUAACCAAGCUGCAGUUGCUGUUUAUUUCUGGGCUGCUAAACUUAACUUACUGUACAAUGCAUUAUUAUUCACUGACAACAAGAAAUUUCAUUUAAACUUUUCCAACAAAGGAGAUGGGUUAAUAUGACGAGCAAAAAGCCUUUUGCUUCACAAAGAUGAAGGUGAAAAACUGGAUUUUGCGUAAUAUUUCAUCUAACAUGAAUGUAUACUUUAUGUAAUAUCUACAACUUCAAAAAAUCUU